rnacentral:rRNA from 1 species
UUAGAUGUUUGAGAGGGCUUGAUUCUAGUACGAGAGGACCGAAUUGAACAAACCUCUGGUGUAUCAGUUGUUCCGCCAGGAGCACCGCUGAGUAGCUACGUUUGGAAGAGAUAAGCACUGAAAGCAUAUAAGUGCGAAACUCGCCUCAAGAUGAGACAUCUUUUAAGGGUCGUUGGAGAUGACGACGUUGAUAGGCUACAGGUGUAAAGUUGGUAACAGCAUAGCCGAGUAGUACUAAUUACCCGUAGAUUUAUAGCCU